UCUACAAACCAACAACCAAAGCCGGGUCAAGUCAAGUUCUUCAAGGAAAUAGAAAUUGAAGCACCGAGAUGAGAGAAGACAGUACGAAGAGAGAGAAAGUAGAUCUGGUUUCUCAAUUCUCCAUCUUCUACCUCCGAGCAUCAUCCGGCGACAUCGCCACUACCAAUGGACUCUUCGGCCUCCAAUUAGUUGACCCAGGCUGCGUCAUCCAACGAUAUCGAAAGUCAGCACCACAUGUUUCCGACUGCGAGUCCGGAUCUACACCCAACAGAGAUCACAGAAUCGGGAGCGAUUUGGGGAUUUAGGGUUUCGAAAUCGAAAGCGUCGUCGUUUUCGAAAUGGCGUUGGGCAAGGUGAAGGAGCUCAUCUCGUCCAAUCCGGUAGUCAUCUUCAGGUUCUCUCUACCUCUUCAUCUUCUUCUGUGUGUCUAUAUAUAUAGAAUUGUCGAUCGUUUUGAACCAAUUUGGAAAUUUGACAAUGAGAUUUUGUUUCGCAGCAACAAGCUUUGUCCUUACUGUGUUUGCGUGAAGUAGCUCUUCGUUCUAAAAUUGGGAGUCCAGUACAAGGCCAUUGAAUUGGACCAAGAGAUGUCUGUCUAUAUAUGCUUCAAACUAAGGGCAAUAGAAUGGUGUAUUUCGGUGAUAUGAACUGGUUCCCACUCCUCAAGCGAUCCAAGACUGUA